CCCAAACUACCCCUCAUUUCUUGAAAUGUUGAAAUGUUUCACACCCAAUCAACUCAGCCAUUACACAAGCCAUUCAAUGGUCUUCAUGAGCAUCUGUGAUGGUGAGUGUUAUCUAUUUUUGCAUGGGGGGACCUCUGGGAUCUCUGGGAUCUGCCAGAUGGGAUCUUCAGUCCCAUCUGGCACUGUUGACAACUCACGUCCACCGAACUCUUAUAUAUGAACCCCCCCACCCCCUUUAAACAAAAGACAGCAAAAGGAGCGUUUUGUACUGUUCUGCUGUGGUGGGUCAUAACAGUACCACAACAAUAAAUAAAUGAAUAGCAUAAAGGUUCAAGAUACCAUUUCAAAGUGCAGGUGUAAAAUAAUCUCAUUUUCUUACCUAAAAUAUUGUCAAGUGCAUCCAAUGAUAAAGGAUAUAAGAAAGGAAGAUUUUAAGCACCUUUCUUUAGCAUUUAGAGCUAACUAGCUACCUAAGUAAGAAUUAAAGACUAAUCAACUCCAGCCCUCAUAUAAGUUGGCUGUGUGUUUACCCUGCUGUGAAAAAGGCCUAUGGAUCAUCCGAUUGAUCGAUUUGCUAAUUACUACAGCCGUGUAAAAACAAUAAAGACGUGUCUAGCCUUGAGUCCCUUGAUAGUAGAUGAAGCAGCACCACCACUAAUAGUAGUGUGGUUUAGCACUAUGGCACACAAAGGGAAAGCUACAUUGUGGCGUAGUUGGAGCCUUACUUCAGCUUUUCUGCUAGUCUGUUUAGCACGCCUGACACAGUCGUACAAUUUGAGAAAAGCGCUUGGCAGAAAUAGAGAAAAUGGUCAUGAAGGAAAGGUUCUGUUUGGUAACUUCUUUGAGAAGGGGCGAACUGGUCUGCCAACAAGUAUACAUGCCAACUGGAAUGUUACCUCCUCUGCAGAAGAUGCCAUCGGUUAUCAAAAAGACUCAUCAGGGUGGUUCCAAGAUGAUCCCAGUGUACAAUGGAAGCACAUGGAGCUGUCGGUUCAAUGUGGAGCUUACCAGAUGAAGCUCGUAGCAAGGGAGCCAGAAGCGUCCCAGCUGCAACUGGUCCAAAGUGAGAUCGUACUGCACACUUAAACUACAUGUUAGAAAGCCAUUGCCUAGAAGAGUUAUGCAUUGAACUGUGGUCUUUCCAGAAAACGCCAAGUCGCUUCCCUUGACUCAGCUCCCUGAAACCUGUGGCUACUCAAUCAGUCGAAACAAUGCAAUGCUUGUAAUGGUGGCUUCAUAUGACGACUGUACAAUGAUGCAAGAGGUAAUAUGAAUUGGUGUUGACCUGACACUUGCUUUAUCCUU
rnacentral:lncRNA from 1 species